AAUCUCAGCUUCUCAUUCUCCUCCUUACCCCACAGACUCACCUAAGGAACAUUCUCCUCCAAACAGACUGCCCAGCAUCUUUCAGUAUGGAAGCUCCAGAGCUCACAGCCACUGAGACCAGCUUAAUAUUACUCGUUGGUGUUUUCAACCAGUAUGCUUCAGGAGACAGUGAUAAGAAAACUCUCAGCAAAGAUGAGUUCGGGAAACUUGUCAAGGAAGAGUUCCCGCUCAUUUUUCAGGCAAAAGAUGCAGCUGAUAUUAUGAAAAAGUUGGACAAAAACAAGGACAAUUUAAUCGACAUCAAUGAGUUUAUGCACAUGAUAUCGGACCUUGUUGGGAAAUCCUACAAGAUGAUGUGUGACAUGGAACCCAAAAAAUGAGCCCCAUCCAGCUCACAGUACCACAGCCUAACAAGCUUUGUACAUCGAUGGCAGAUAAAAUAAGGCUUAUCUCUAACUGGCUGCCAAUUCAGAGCAUUGAUGGUGUUAGGAUAGAGGUGUCUGCAUUGUAACGUCCAUUAUAAAUUUGGCUGAAACACAAACCAAUGUUGUUUCCUAUUAAACAUUUUACUGUUUAAAA